rnacentral:lncRNA from 1 species
UACAUAUAUUUCAAACUAUUUAUUUUUUUACUCGUACAUAAUGGUACAUAGAUAUGUUUUUGUUUCAGUCUAGUAAUCUUUGUUGUAACCUUCUGACAAUACAAUGUGUGUGAUUUCUCUAUGUGUCUACAUAUAUGAAACAGGGCAGGGUAGCCUGGUGGUUAGAGGGCAGGUGGGUAACCCUGGUGGUUAGAGGGCAGGGCAGGGUACCCUGGUGGUAAGGGAGGCAGGUACCUGGUGGUUAGAGGGCGGGCAGUGGUAGCCUGGUGGUUAGAGGGCAGGGUAGGGUACCCUGGUGGUUAGAGGGCAGGGCAGGGUACCCUGGGGUUAGAGGGCCGGGUACUGGUGGUUAGAGCAGGGUAGGUUGACCAUGUGGUGGUUAGAGCAGGGCAGACCUGGUGGUUGGGGGGUAGGGUACCCUGGUGGUUUAGAGGGCAGGGUAGGGUACCCUGGUGGUUAGAGGGGCAGGGAGGUACCUGGUGGUUAGAGGGGCAGGGUAGUCCCUGGUGGUUAGAGGGCAGGGUAGCCUGGUGGUUAGAGGGCAGGGUAGGGUCGCAUGGGGUUUGAGGGUCAGGGCAGGGUAGGCUGGUGGUUAGGGGCAGGGUAGGGUAGCCUGGUGGUUAGAGGGCAGGGUAGGUAGCCUGGUGGUUAGAGGGCAGGUAGGGCAGGGUUAGGGUAGCCUGGUGGUUAGAGGCAGGGGUAGGGUACCCUGGUGGUUAGAGGGCAGGGCAGGGUACCUGGUGGUUAGAGGGCAGGGUCAGGGUAGCUGGUGGUUAAGCGGCAGCGUAGGGUCAGCCUGGUGGUUAGAGCCGUGCAGGAGGGU